UUUAGUAGACAGAAGCUUCGGUGGAAGAUUACUAAUGAGAGUGGCGAACGGGUGAGUAACGCGUGAGCAACCUGCCUAUGACAGUGGGAUAGCCUCGGGAAACCGGGAUUAAUACCGCAUAAAAUCGUAGAAACACAUGUUUUAGCGGUCAAAGAUUUAUCGGUCAUAGAUGGGCUCGCGUCUGAUUAGCUAGUUGGUGAGAUAACAGCCCACCAAGGCGACGAUCAGUAGCCGGUCUGAGAGGAUGAACGGCCACAUUGGAACUGAGACACGGUCCAAACUCCUACGGGAGGCAGCAGUGGGGAAUAUUGCACAAUGGGGGAAACCCUGAUGCAGCGACGCCGCGUGAACGAAGAAGGUAUUCGUAUCGUAAAGUUCUGUCCUAUGGGAAGAUAAUGACAGUACCAUAGAAGAAAGCUCCGGCUAAAUACGUGCCAGCAGCCGCGGUAAUACGUAUGGAGCGAGCGUUGUCCGGAAUUAUUGGGCGUAAAGGGUACGCAGGCGGUUUAAUAAGUCGAAUGUUAAAGAUCGGGGCUCAACCCCGUAAAGCAUUGGAAACUGAUAAACUUGAGUAGUGGAGAGGAAAGUGGAAUUCCUAGUGUAGUGGUGAAAUACGUAGAUAUUAGGAGGAAUACCAGUAGCGAAGGCGACUUUCUGGACACAAACUGACGCUGAGGUACGAAAGCGUGGGGAGCAA
rnacentral:rRNA from 2 species